rnacentral:rRNA from 1 species
GGGUUCCUAUGGGAGGCAGCAGUGGGGAAUAUUGGGCAAUGGGCGCAAGCCUGACCCAGCAACGCCGCGUGAAGGAAGAAGGCUUUCGGGUUGUAAACUUCUUUUGUCAGGGACGAAGCAAGUGACGGUACCUGACGAAUAAGCCACGGCUAACUACGUGCCAGCAGCCGCGGUAAUACGUAGGUGGCAAGCGUUAUCCGGAUUUAUUGGGUGUAAAGGGCGUGUAGGCGGGAAUGCAAGUCAGAUGUGAAAACCAUGGGCUCAACCUGUGGCCUGCAUUUGAAACUGUUUUUCUUGAGUACUGG